rnacentral:rRNA from 1 species
UACGUAGGGUGCAAGCGUUGUCCGGAAUUAUUGGGCGUAAAGAGCUCGUAGGCGGUCUGUCGCGUCGGAUGUGAAAACCCGGGGCUUAACCCCGGGCCUGCAUUCGAUACGGGCAGACUCGAGUGUGGUAGGGGAGACUGGAACUCCUGGUGUAGCGGUGAAAUGCGCAGAUAUCAGGAAGAACACCGGUGGCGAAGGCGGGUCUCUGGGCCACUACUGACGCUGAGGAGCGAAAGCGUGGGGAGCAAACAGGAUUAGAUACCCUGGUAGUCCACGCCGUAAACGUUGGGCGCUAGGUGUGGGGGACUUUCCACGUCCUCCGUGCCGCAGCUAACGCAUUAAGCGCCCCGCCUGGGGAGUACGGCCGCAAGGCUAAA